rnacentral:lncRNA from 10 species
GAGGAGUUGGAAACCAGCCUGGCCAAUAUGGUGAAAUCCUGUCUCUACUAAAAAUACAAAAAUUAGCCAGAUGUGGUGGCGCAUGCCUGUAGUCCCAGCUACUCGGGAGGCUGAGGCAGAAGAACCACUUGAACCCGGGAGGCAGAGUUUGCAGUGAGCUGAGAUGGCACCACCGCACUCCAGCCUGGGCAACAGAGCCACAGCGAGACUCCGUUGCAGAAAAAAAAAAAAUUGUUUUGUAGAUCUUUCAAAGAGUUGUUUCUACUUGGAAUGCUUUCAAAAUUAUAGUAGUUGUAUACCCGCCUCUAGAUCCUCUACUUUAAUGUAUUUUUUAAAAAGCAUAUUAUCUUAACCUUUACGGUAGCUCCCAGUGAUCCUGGUUUCCUGGCAUUCGUACCCUUGUGUAAUCCCCUUCCAGUAACAGAAUAUGGCAGAAAUGAUGGGAUGUCAUUUCUGAGAUUAAGUGUACUGAAUCUAUGUUCUGUACCCUCUCUUCGAGCACUUGCUACAGGGGAAGUGAACUGCUAUGUCCUGAGAUAACUGAGAGGUUGUGGAGAGUGACUCCAUGAGUCUGUGGAGAGGUCAAUAUGACAAAGAACUGAAGCUUGCCAAUAGCCAUUUGAGUGAGCUUGGAAGUGGACCUUUCCCCAGGCUGACUCAUGACUGAUGACUCCAGGGAAAAAUCAAGACACAGGAGAGGAAGGGUAUUCCCGUUCAUCCCAGUAAUGCUAAUCGAGGAAAUGGUCCUCGAGGAAAUGACGCUGCAGCAACAGCAUCACCUGGGGACUUGUUAGCAACAGAAGUUCUCAGACUCCGCCAUAGAACUACUGAAUCAGAAAUUCUGGAAUAAGGCCCAGCAUUCCAUGUUCUAACAAACCUUCCAGGUGACUGUAAUGUACAUUCAAGUUUAAGAACCACUGUAAUAGACCCAUUUCUUGGUUGAUUAAAUGGAUCUUAUAUUGUAAAUAAGCAGAAUAGUCAAAUGUUCCUUCACACAAUAGGCUAGGGCUGCUAUUUGACAGGAUCAUGGUCGUUUUAACAGGAGGAAUAUGAUGAAUCUGAAAAAUGGAAACAAUAUUUGCAAUGGCAGUUGUGUGUCCCUAUGCAACAUGAGGUGGGGAGGCCUUGAGGAUUCCACUGAUGGAAAGAAUUGAGCUGAAAUCUGAGCACCUGCCAUCCUCUUCCUCCUCUCCCCUCCCAACAUCUGCAUGGAACCACAGCCCUCCCCUCUUUCCUUUGGAGCCAGUGAAGCAUGGAAAGGGGAAAGUCAUUCCCAGCAUCCACCAAGGUUUAGAGGUAGUGUCAUAAGCAAACAUCUAUACCAGCAAGUUCUCCAGUAAGGAGGGGCAGAGGCAGCGUGUGGGCCACACACUGAGUUUGAAAAGUAGCAGAGUUUGAAAAGGAGUUAAGGAGUUAUGGGCAAGAGAUUAGGUGGCCAGUGGGAGGAGAUUGAGAAUAAAGCAAACCAGAAACCCUCAAAGACCUGAGGCAUGUGGCUUGAAGAGCAGGUGAGAAGUUUUUGCCUGCCCAUGCAGUUAAAUGUCGCAAAUCCCAGUUCAUUCUAAUUGAUGCAGCUUUAGGAAUGAUUUUACAGUAAAAACCCACUGCUUAGAAUGUCAUUUUAGUUCAUUCUGGGAAGACAGGUGAAGUGGCACUCCAUCCUGGAAAGACAGCUCUGCUUUCUGAUCAGGUAGGACUUUCUCACUCUCUCUCACACUUCAAGUUGAAAAUUCAACAGCCAACUAAACCAAACAGCCCGCAGACAGUUGCCUCUGACUGACCAUUGUCAACAGCAAUGUCUCUUUGUUCUCUGUGAAGUAAGUGGAAUAAAUGGAGCACUGCCUUAAUGCCCUUGCCAACUGAGUACUCAAUAGUUCUGUUGUUUAAGGGCUCAACCCCUCCCACUACCCAGAGAAUAAUGUGCUCUGAAAUCUAGUGACAACCCAAGGUAGACUGGGCACUCUGGAAAGGAGGCAUGGCCUGCUUGUUAUAAUGCUUGUGAUAUCAGACAUUUUUAGAACUAGAAUGAAGUGAAGGAUAUUGAAAAUUCCAAAAAAGGCAAGGCACAGUGGCUCAUACCUGUAAUCCCAGUACUUUGAGAGGCCGAGGAGGGCAGAUCACCGGAGGUUGGGAGUUCCAGACCAGUCUGGCCAGCAUGGUGAAAC